UCCUUUGGUGCCCGCCAGGCAGCUAUAGCCCCACAUCCUCUACAUACUGCUUAUGCUGAGGUUCACCACAUCACCAUGCAAACACCCCACCUCUUCCCCCAGGCCAUCCUGCCUGCUCCUAUAGCAUACGCACCUCCUCAGCCUUACCCUUUCAUAGCCUCUUGGAGGAAAGCAGUUGAUUUUCUCCAGCUGGUUGAAGCCAGGCUGCCUUGCAGAUCCUUGCUCUCAGGAGAGCAGCUGUGAGCCCUCCUGCUCCUUGAAGGAGAGCAUUGCUCCCUUCUGUGGACAGCUGGCCACUGCUGCCUUCCUUCCCUAGAGCAGCAUGGCUGGAGGAUUUAGCAUGUUUCUUGCUAGCACCAGGUCCCCCAAAAGAGAGCAGAGGUGUUGCAGUGCAGCUGCGGGUGUGUGGCGGGCAGCAUCAUCCAGCCCCCCGGGUCUGCCCCAUGCGGUGUUGCAUCUGCCUUGGUGGGCCUGGGCAGAAGAGGCAAAUACUCAACAAUUCUGACUGAAUCUUCCUAAAUGAUGGAGAAUGACCAUUUCUACCACAGCCUCUAAAACAACCUGUCCUCCCUCAACCUCUGGGCACAUAUAGUCUACCAGGCCAGGCACCCUGGGGUGCUCAGCGUCUAAUAACUGACCCUCACCACAGCUCCCUUGCAGUGUGCUGAAAAUUUGGCUGGAGUAAACCUCAGGAGAAGAUUUCCUCCUACAGUUUGUGGCAGAAACAUAAACU